UUAUGCAUGAGACAUAGGCAGGGA
rnacentral:piRNA from 1 species